rnacentral:misc_RNA from 1 species
UACUCGGAGGCGCAGAAAGUCU